GUUUUGCCCAGCGGUGGUUUGUUCUCGUCUUUACACAAAGCUAAACAUAUUAUUUAUCUUUACUGAUCGCAAGCGAUGACAUUGAUCAGAGUGAAUUGUCAUCAUAAUGUAAUGAUUGGAAAUCAACUAGUAGUCAAUUUAAUUUAGCUAUUCAUAUAUAUAACAGAGAUUAGGCAUCUGCUCCUUUGACAAGUCCGUUUUGGAGAAAAGCACUACAUAAUUUUCAAAAUGGCCGGAAAGACAAUGACAUAUUAACACUAAUCUGGUUUUUAAAUAUCUCUGAAAAACAGGAUCAUUGUUUGUUGUUGUAAUACUCAUUUAAUCCACAGGAGGCUGAAGUGCACCACUACGCCUUGUUCUAAAUAAGAGUAUAACAAAAAUGAUCCCGACAGCUGGAUGCAACUUGCACCUGAAUUUCUCUGCAUGUCUGUUACCAACUGUGUCUACUUCUACACAUAUACUUGUUUUAUGAUGGGUUUGUUGCAGUUGCAUGCUGGGAGAAUUUAAAGUCCAGGUGUUAUCUUUUAGAAAAGGAGAAGAGUCAGAGUGAACUAUCAAAGACUCUCCAGGUUGUGUUCAGAGCUCCAGAUUGAUCAGGUGGAAGAGAGGAAGGAAGAUGUUCCACUGGAGGAGCUCGGCCCUCAUUCUGCUGUUGACUCAGCAGUUUGCGACUGGCAUUUGGGCUUAUCCAUGUUUGACCUCUGAGCUGAAAUGUGACUUUGUGUGUGACUGUUCUGACUGCAACGAUGAGCAAGACUGUGGCUACAGUGGAAAAGGGUUUGAGUGUGACUUUGAGGAAGCAGGAAUGUGUGGAUGGACUGGCCGGUCCGUGGACGCAGCAGUGUACAGCUGGGAGAGACGUCAGAGAGGAGGGGACACGCUGCCCGGCAGCGGGCCGUCCUCUGACUACACCACCGGGACAGCUACAGGUGUAGUUUUAACACUUCUCCGUUCUCAUGUAGUUUGGUCUUAUUCAGUCUCGCAUUCAUACUAGUACUUUACACUUAUACUUUACAAGUCAGUGUAUAAAACCUCAAGCAAAAUGAGAACCUGGUUUUGUUUAAGUAAAGAGCUGGGGAAAGUAAAAGGUUAAGAUGCUUUUUGUUUAACUGAAAUGAUUGUGUUUCUGUUCCGACGAAUAGUUCA
rnacentral:lncRNA from 1 species